AGCUCCAAUAGCGUAUAUUAAAGUUGUUGCGGUUAAAAAGCUCGUAGUUGGAUUUCUGCUGAGGACGAUCGGUCCGCCCUCUGGGUGAGCAUCUGUCUCGGCCUCGGCAUCUUCUUGGAUAAUGUAACUGCACUUGACUGUGUGGUGCGCUAAUCAAGACUUUUACUUUGAGGAAAUUAGAGUGUUUCAAGCAGGCGUAUGCCUUGAAUACAUUAGCAUGGAAUAAUGAGAUAGGACCUUAAUUCUAUUUUGUUGGUUUCUAGAGCUGAGGUAAUGAUUAAUAGGGAUAGUUGGGGGGCAUUCGUAUUUAACUGUCAGAGGUGAAAUUCUUGGAUUUGUUAAAGACGGACUAACUGCGAAAGCAUCUGCCAUG
rnacentral:rRNA from 1 species